UUCGACAAAUAACGAAAAAUACAUUAUAAAUGGUCAAGUGUUUUAGUCUGUAAACACAUGAACAUGGACAGACGUACAUGACUACAUGACUUAACUAGAUUACUAGGUCAGAUAGGGAUAGACAGACGUACAUGACUACAUGACUUAACUAGAUUACUAGGUCAGAUAGGGAUAGACAGACGUACAUGACUACAUGACUUAACUAGAUUACUAGGUCAGAUAGGGAUAGACAGACGUACAUGACUACAUGACUUAACUAGAUUACUAGGUCAGAUAGGGAUAGGCCCGCGGUUGAAUCUAGUUGAUGAGCCUUGGUUU